rnacentral:rRNA from 1 species
CCUACGGGCGGCAGCAGUGGGGAAUAUUGGACAAUGGGCGAAAGCCUGAUCCAGCCAUGCCGCGUGUGUGAAGAAGGCCUUCGGGUUGUAAAGCACUUUCAGUGGGGAAGAAAGCCUUGGGGCUAAUACCCUCGAGGAAGGACAUCACCCACAGAAGAAGCACCGGCUAACUCCGUGCCAGCAGCCGCGGUAAUACGGAGGGUGCGAGCGUUAAUCGGAAUUACUGGGCGUAAAGCGCGCGUAGGCGGUCUGAUAAGCCGGUUGUGAAAGCCCCGGGCUCAACCUGGGAACGGCAUCCGGAACUGUCAGGCUAGAGUGCAGGAGAGGAAGGUAGAAUUCCCGGUGUAGCGGUGAAAUGCGUAGAGAUCGGGAGGAAUACCAGUGGCGAAGGCGGCCUUCUGGACUGACACUGACGCUGAGGUGCGAAAGCGUGGGUAGCGAACAGGAUUAGAUACCCCUGUAGUC